rfam:Prunus persica cultivar Lovell chromosome G2, whole genome shotgun sequence.
UUUUGAGAGCUUACUGGCUUCAGAGUUAUGGGAACUCCAAAGUUAAGCGAGUUUAGGCUAGAGCAAUCCCAGAAUGGGUGACCCACUGAGAAAUUGCUCGUGAGUUUCCAAAA